UUCUCGCACUCAUCUCGCGCUAAGCUCACGCCGCACCUCAUCUUCUCUAAUCGCCACCGCCUUUCGCCUUCUCUAAUCACCACCGCAUCUCACACUCACAGCAUCUUGUCCUCGUCUCUAUCUCUAGGGCAUAGAUUUCCAUCUCAAUCUCUCUCGAUCGUUCUAGGGCCUUAUGAUCCGAAGCUCCAGGUGUUGGUCUUUCAGCGUUGUUGCUGCUCUUGAAGGUGUUAACUGUUUGGCUACUGGGAAUAAUUAAGCUUAAAGAAGCAAGGAAGUUCAGAGGUGAAGGGAUGCCAUUGCAUUUGAGUAACAAGAAAGGAGAUUUGUGAUUCAAAUUGCUGGCCAAGCUGCAGCUGCAACGCCAAAACCACCUGUUGAAGUAACAGAGGUGCAAGAUCUGUAAAUUACCAGGAAAAAAUCAGUGAUAAGAGUUCUCUAAUUGAUGCAAAUGUAUCUGGACAAUUGUUCUCACCACUCUCUUGGUGGCUUUGAGUUGACAAAACUCUUAACAAUAAUGCUUGUGACAAUUAUUCUUCACAAGACUAUUGAUAUUGUGCUUGCACGAGGGGAGAAGCUGAAUAGUUUAGUCGAGAAGAGCUCAGACGUAAGUGCUGCAUCCCAGAUAAAAUGAACUCAUUAAUUGAGAAAUACGGCGCAAGUUUUUUUUUCCGCCAUCUGCGCUGGUGUGCUCUAUAAAAUGUAUUCAAAAGAACGAAGGCUAGAAGAACAAAGGCUACAACAACAAAGGCGAGACCAACCAAUCAUUAUCAAAGUUUCAGAACCAAAAAAAUAUAUACCACCAGCCGUAACUGUUUCAGAACAACCACCACCACCACCACCGCCGCCACAAGCACCAUAAACACCACCACUUACCACCACAGCACCGGUCACCAUCGGUCAAUCUCUUCCCCAAAAUCAUAUGGAUGAACUAAUGCAGAUAGCCUUUGAUAGCCCUUUUGAGAACCUUGAUUUUAUGAAUAUGCAUGAUAAUUUGGGUGACAAGCGCCGGAACUCAGGGACGAACACGUGAGAGAGCAGCACUCAUCACCGAAUCGUGCCCUCACCUUGCGCGAGAUGGGGAUCGAACUUGGGGAGCCACGCUCGACAUUCGAGGUGAACACCCUACGUAAGGGACCCGAUGCCAAUAGACCAAAUGGUCAUUGGCAGUUUACAUUUUAUUUGUUCACUAAUUUAUGUAGCUUAUUAUUAUAUCCAUUUUUAAAAUUACAAGUUAUUUAUGGAAAUUUUAUAUCCUCUUACUAGGUUUCA